rnacentral:rRNA from 1 species
UACGUAGGGCGCGAGCGUUGUCCGGAAUUAUUGGGCGUAAAGAGCUCGUAGGUGGCUUGUUGCGUCUGCCGUGAAAGCCCGUGGCUUAACUACGGGUCUGCGGUGGAUACGGGCAGGCUAGAGGCUGGUAGGGGCAAGCGGAAUUCCUGGUGUAGCGGUGAAAUGCGCAGAUAUCAGGAGGAACACCGGUGGCGAAGGCGGCUUGCUGGGCCAGUUCUGACGCUGGAGGAGCGAAAGCGUGGGGAGCGAACAGG